rnacentral:lncRNA from 10 species
CCAAGGCAUAGAAAAUACCAUGAAAUGAACAAGAAUCUCUCCAGGUGCAUAGGCUAACAAAGCAGCUAUUCAUUUAUCCAUUCAUCCAUUCUACACAUACUUAAUGAGUGUCUAAUAUGCGCUUGGCACUCUGCUAGAUGUUGGGUGAAUAGAGAUAAUAAAUGACUGAACUUCUCCUUUUGGAAUCUCUUUUAUUUUCUCUGCCCCAGAGUGAACCAAAAACAGCUUUCUUGGGCAACACCGGCCAGAGACACUAUUCCACCUCCCUGCUGAGGUCCAGCUUGAACUUUAUUCAUUUCAAAACCAAACCAUUCAGCCAGACCCUCAAACCACUGAAGACGCUCAGUCAGUCAAAAUGGGUCAGAAUCAAGUGCAAACCUCUCUGAAGUGCUUAUCACUCUCCAGCAUCUCCUAAAUCUUGAAAUGAUCCUAGGCCUUUCUUAAGCCUCCCUUCCACCUGCUGGUCAGAUAGACCCUGUGUUGUAGGACUCUUCCAGCCUUGGAAAGUGGUUUCCAGAAAAGUUUGCUUGAAGUCUCUCUAAUACCCAAGAAAGACAUGGAAGCCCCUUGAGGUAAGUGCUGUUCUUCACUGAUUGCCCUGCAACACUGCUUUCUGAACAUCUACACUUCACCCCUUGCUGCCUUUAUCCACAAUUCAUUAGUUUCCACUGAUGAAAACAAUCAGGUUGGAAUAGAUGAAUACAGCCAUGUGUAUGCAUUAGCUUGGUCCACUUCCCAGUAUGUAGACUAUCAUAUGAUAAAGCUUCCAUGAAUACAUUGCAUUGCAAAAACAGGAACUGCAUACAAAUUGACCUUUUAUCAUCUUAAAAGGUCUUCCCUGAGGACUUUCUAAGCAUAAAUUCAGUGGAGGAAGUCACAAAGGAAAAAUAUACAUACAUGUAACAAAGUUGAAAUCAAAAAUUUAUGUGUAUUAAAAAAACAGACAUUGCUGGCAGGUAAAUAAAUUGGUACAACUUUCAUGGAGGGAAAUCUGGUAUAUGUAUUAAAAGCCUUUCAAAUGUGCUUACCAUGUCACCCAGUAAUCCCACUGCUAAGAAUUU